AUUUGAGGCAUCAAAUUGUAAAAUUGUUGGUGGUAUAGUGGUCAACGCUUUGAAUAACCUUCUUCUAUGUGUCUAGUUUGAGUCUAACUUUUGUCAGAAUUUGAUUUUUUUUCCUCAAUACCUCAUUAUUAAUGGGUCAAACACAUUUUUGCUUUAAGCAACAAAAAGACUUGGGCCGGCCCUGCAUACCAAUCUUCAGAAACUGUAGAGUGUCGAGUAUUUUUAUCACUAAAAAAGUUGGAAAAUUUGAGAUAUGAUUUCUCUAUGUCUUUUAUGAAUACAACAAAACCAACAUUCAUAUAUAUUAUCUUUUUUUGUCUUCUGGUUG
rnacentral:sRNA from 1 species